rnacentral:lncRNA from 1 species
UGCUUUUACUUUAACAAGAGUGAACAAAAAUAAAAUUAUUAUUCUCAUAUUAACCAAUAAAUGUAAAUCAAUACACAAGACAAACAAAAUGCAAAAUGAAUAUUUUAGAUCCAAUAAGAAAAGUAAAUAGAGAAAUGUAUAGAUUUAUUAAAUGAGUAGUAGUGAAUAGGUUUGUCCCUUAAUGUAAAAUGAGAUACAUCAUGGCACCAUAAUAAUUUACAUAUAUCAAAACACAAGUCUGGAAUUUACAUCCAGUCUAUAGUAGAAAAGUUUACUGCACUAAUAUAUUUAACAAUAAAAUAAAUGACAUAAAUACUGAUUAAACUUUAAGGAACAUAAUAGAGUAGUAUCUAGCUCACUUGAAAUGAAACAAGCAUUAGAAAAGUUUGAUCAUGGGGCAAAACUUAGUGGUUAUGGACUUCAAAUCAAUGUAUCUUAGCAUUCUAUUAUAGCCAGCUAUUGCAUAUAUAUGUAAUUAUUUAAGAUACAGCAGUUAAUCAAGAAGAAUUCCAUACUUUGUCAAAUUGUAUAUAUUUAAUAAUAAAAAAACUCAUAUUUCACAGUUGAUAACUAUUUUAUGAAAAUGAGAGGCUGUCCUAUAAAUUUCCCGCUAGCAAGAUAUUCCAGAAAUCUUAAAGAAAAACUAAAGAGAAACUGUUUAAUAACUUUUCCACUAGUGGAUAAAUUUUGCAGAAGAUAUGUUGACACUAUAAUGAUGAUUAUAUAUAAAACUGCAAACAUUUCUAGGAUCGUAAACCUAAUUAAUCAGUAUAAUUGGC